rnacentral:lncRNA from 1 species
CCCCCUAUUUUUUUACAAUUUUUUUUCAAAUUUUGGGCUCUAGUUUCAGAUUUUUGAACAUAGCGCCCUUCGAUACCUUGCGCAAAAGAAGCGCCUGUUUCUCCUCUACAAGACCUAUAUAGUCAUACCCCGUGACACCCUCAUUAUUUUUCUCUAGAAGCCCUGGAAUAGGCCGACCCCCCUGUUUUUUUACCAUUUUUUUUUCAAAUUUUGAGCUCUAGUUUCAGAUUUUUGAACAUAGCGCCCUUCGAUACCUUGCGCAAAAGAAGCGCCUGUUUCUCUUCUACAAGACCUAUAUAGUCAUACCCCGUGACACCCUCAUUAUUUUUCUCUAGAAGCCCUGGAAUAGGCCGACCCCCUAUUUUUUACCAUUUUUUUUCAAAUUUUGAGCUCUAGUUUCAGAUUUUUGAACAUAGCGCCCUUUCAUACCUUGCGCAAAAGAAGCGCCUGUUUCUCUUCUACAAGACCUAUAUAGUCAUACCCCGUGACACCCUUCAUUAUUUUUCUCUAGAAGCCCUGGAAUAGGCGACCCCCCCCCCCCCUAUUUUUUUACCAUUUUUUUUUCAAAUUUUGGGCUCUAGUUUCAGAUUUUUGAACAUAGCGCCCUUUGAUACCUUGCGCAAAAGAAGCGCCUGUUUCUCUCUACAAGACCUAUAUAGUCAUACCCCGUGACACCCCUCAUUAUUUUUCUCUAGAAGCCCUGGAAUAGGCCGACCCCCUUUUUUUUUUACCAUUUUUUUCAAAUUUUGAGCUCUAGUUUCAGAUUUUUGAACAUAGCGCCCUUUGAUACCUUGCGCAAAAGAAGCGCCUGUUUUCUUCUACAAGACCUAUAUAGUCAUACCCCGUGACACCCCUCAUUAUUUUUUCUCUAGAAGCCCUGGAAUAGGCCGACUCCCCUAUUUUUUACCUUUUUUUUCAAAUUUUGAGCUCUAGUUUCAGAUUUUUGAACAUAGCGCCCUUUGAUACCUUGCGCAAAAGAAGCGCCUGUUUCUUCUCUACAAGACCUAUAUAGUCAUAUCCCGUGACACCCCUCAUUAUUUUUCUCUAGAAGCCCUGGAAUAGGAUGCCCCAUUUUUUUACAUAUUUUUUUUCAAAUUUUGGGCUCUAGUUUCAGAUUUUUGAACAUAGCGUCCUUCGAUACCUUGCGCAAAAGAAGCGCCUGUUUCUCUUCUACAAGACCUAUAUAGUCAUACCCCGUGACACCCCUCAUUAUUUUUCUCUAGAAGCCCCGGAAUAGGCCGACGCCCCUAUUUUUUUACCAUUUUUUUUCAAAUUUUGUGGCUCUAGUUUUUGAACAUAGCGCCCUUCGAUAUCUUACGCAAAAGAAGCGCCUGUUUCUCCUCUACAAGAUCUUUAUAGUCAUACCCCGUGACACCCCUCAUUAUUUUUCUCUAGAAGCCCUGGAAUAGGGCUACUCUCUAUUUUUUUACCAUUUUUUUCAAAUUUUGGGCUCUAGUUUCAGAUUAGGAUUGAUGCUUACAAGAAAGCUAUUGGACAAAAGAUCCAGAUGGAGAAAUUCAAGUCGACCCUUCGAAUCCGUUAAGGACGCCAUCAUGAUUUAGUUGACCAGUUCGAAAUAUCUAUUUCACAGAUAACGACGGUAUUGUUCCAAUUGUCGUAGCUGCAUUCAAGUACUCUGUUCUUUGAAAGUGACCUACCGAAUUAGAUGUAUCACAGGGUUUGUACUAAUACUAUAUGACUGGUGCACUUGUGGAUCAGGAUCUGCUUACCCUUUCAAAAUACAUUCGUUAAACGAAAACCGUGGAGCAACUCUUUCCAGAAUGCACUACAAGCAACUGACUUGUCAUAAACGUUACCGGAAUGAAUAUUGAUGGAAAAAGUGUGAUGUGUGAAAAUAUAAUGCUUUUACAGCAUUAGGGCGGUUAAAUAUGCAAGGGAAGUAAAUCGAACAAAACACCAAACCUGGGUAUUCCUCAGGUAAAUGUAACUGUUUGAUAACACACUCAAACAAAUGAAAAUAAAUCGUGCAUUAUUAGCUAUACAUCAACGUUGAAAAGUACAAAACGUAAGUUGCAAUUUAAAGUAAAUGGCGGUCAUGCAAAGUUAUUAGAAUGUCUGGUAUAUUUAAAUAGGAUAUUUAUUUGGUAAACAAAUUGUAUAAUCAUUGAAUUUUGUCAGAAAAGACACCAUAAUUUGUAUAAACGUUUGCAUUUUAACAACCGCUAUGCGAGAAUGUGAUUUGUCAUGUCAGAAUUUUAUCAUAUAGAAAUAAAUAAUUUAGGUAAAGAGCUUAUACUUAUAGUCUUAAUCCAUUCUAAAAGAUAACAUUUUUCAAAAAAAAUUGCUAUCUUGAAGGUUUUUAAAAUCUCGAAUCAAAAGAGGGGCGACAGAUAGAAAUGAUUUCAACUUCACCACUUGAACUAUUAAUAGCUUCCUUGGGAGCAGAAAUCCUAAAUCAAGGAAAUAAUGAUAUCAAGUGUUCAAAUGAGCAUUUUUCUUGAAGGACAGAUUUUGCCAUAUUUGUCCCUUUAUGCGAAAAUUCAAUAUAAGUAAUUU